rnacentral:rRNA from 1 species
AUUGAACGCUGGCGGAAUGCUUUACACAUGCAAGUCGAACGGCAGCACGGGGCAACCUGGUGGCGAGUGGCGAACGGUGAGUAAUACAUCGGAACGUGCCCAAUCGUGGGGGAUAACGUAGCGAAAGUUACGCUAAUACCGCAUACGAUCUACGGAUGAAAGCGGGGGAUCGCAAGACCUCGCGCGAGUGGAGCGGCCGAUGUCAGAUUAGGUAGUUGGUGGGGUAAAGGCUCACCAAGCCAACGAUCUGUAGCUGGUCUGAGAGGACGACCAGCCACACUGGAACUGAGACACGGUCCAGACUCCUACGGGAGGCAGCAGUGGGAAUUUGGACAAUGGGCGCAAGCCUGAUCCAGCCAUUCCGCGUGCAGGAUGAAGGCC